UUUUUUUUUUUUUUUUUGAGACAGGGUCUCACUGUCUCCCAGGCUGGAGUGUAGUGGUGUGAUCAUGGCUCACUGCAGCCUCAGCCUCAUGGGUUUCAGAGAUCCUCCCACCUGAGCCUCCCAAGUAGCUGGGACCUCAGGUGUACAACACCAUGCCCAGCUAAUGUUUAAAAUUUUUUGCAGAGACAGGGCCUCCGUCUGUUGCUCAGGCUGGUCUGGAAUUCCUGGGUUCAAGUGAUUCUCCUGCUUCAUCCUCCCAAAGUGCUGUGAUUACAGGCAUGUGCCACUGCCUGGCCCCAUAUAAGUGGGAUGAUGACUUGAGCCUAGGAGUUCCACACCAGCCUGGGUAACAUGGUACAAGACCCUGUCUCUACAAAAACUAAAAAAAUUAACUGGGCAUGGUGGCACCUGCCUAUGGUCCCAGCUACUCCAGGAGGCUGAGGCAGGAGGAUAACUUGAGCCCAGGAGUCGAGGCUGCAGUGAGCUCUGAUCUUGUCAUUGCAUUCCAGACUGGGUGACAGAGUGAAACCUUGUCUCUUAAAAACAAUUACUGGCUACCUGAUUAUUCAUAGGAAAAAAACCUGAACUCUGAUCUAAACCUCAUACCUCGUACAAAAAUUAACUCAAAAUGGAUCAUGGACCAAAAUGUAAAAUGCAAAAUAAACAUGAAAAGAGGAGCUAGAGACUGGGAGAAACUAUUUGCAAACCACAUGUCUGAUAAAGGACUCAUAUUUAUAAUUUAUAAAGAACGAUCAAAAUUCAGCAGUGAAACCAAACCAUCUACUUUGAAAAUGAAUAAAAGACCAGAAGAGACAUUUCAGAUAACAUAUAAGCACAUGAAAAGAUGUUCAACGUCAUCAGCCAUCAGAAAAAUGCACACUAAAGCCAAGUCACUAUACAAGUGUCAGAAUGGCUAAAAUAAAAAGUAGUAACAAGACCAAUGCUGGUGAGGAUGCGGGGAAACGGGAUCACUUACACUUGGCUGGUGGGAAUGGAAGAUGGUACAGCCAUUCUGAAAAACAGUUUGACAGUUUCUUAAAAAAUAAACGUGCAAUUGCCGUAGGAUGCAGCACUCACAUUCAUGGGCGGUUAUCCCAGAGAAAUGAAGACUUAUGUUCACACAAAAGCCUCUAUGUAUCUGUUCAUAGCAGCAUUAUUUAUAAAGGCUAGAAACUGGAAACAGCCCAGAGACUGCUCAGCAGGUGAAUGGUUAAACAAACUGGUGCACCGAGGCCCCAGAUACCACUCUGCAGUAGUUAGUGACAUCCUUGUUCAUCAGUCUUUCAAACUAGAAACCACCAUCAUGCUUAAUCUCCUUUUUUCCAUCCUGGGUCUGAGUGGACUUCAUUUUGCAUUUCUUUCCAAUGCAUUUUCCCUCCGUCCUUUCUGGUUGCGCCUCAUGCCUCAUUUGGACUGUUGUAAGAGCCACCGAAUUGUUUCUCUGCCUCAUCAUGGAAUCCUUUCUACACUUCAUUCCCUGCAUUGCCAUUGGAACAAUCUUUCCAAAACAUGAACAAACUAACUUAAAAGAAAUAUCCCAGGUAGCCUUCCAAAUAAGUACAAGCUUUCUGUUAGAAGUUUGACUUCUUGUGUAUUGGGAACCCCAGGACUCUAGAGAGACGGAUUUGCUGUCUGCAUUUUAAGAUCAGGCAGAAAUCCUGGAGGGCCCAUGUGGAACAGUGGCACAAAUACUGGUUCUAGAAUCAGAAGCCCUCAUAUCCUGGUUCUAAUUCUAGCUGGAUGUUCUUGGGAAAGUUUUGGUUUCAUAACCUCAGAAACUCCAUUUCUUAAGAAAUGGAGAUGAGGAAGCAUACUCAAGGGAUCACACAAGGCUGCUGGGAGGAGCGGAUGAGGGCAUGGUGAAAAUGCUGUGUAAUCCGUGAAGCACGUCGUAUGUGUGAGAAGUGGAGCUGUGUGGAUAGCGGUUCUGGAAUCAUUGUAUGAAAACAAUGGAAAGUACAUUCGUAGUUCUGCCUGAUGAUACCACUGAGAGCCUGUGUUGUACAUGCCUGCAACAUGGGCGAGGCCCGGGUCAGUACAGCUCACAGUUUGGUUCUCAUGCAGUUUGAAAGGCCCGAGAGGACCCUUCCCCACUCCAGCUGUAGGAAGGAGGCCGCUGUCUCCUGCCUAUAUUUGGUGUGAUUUUCUCUGGCUCCUUGGGGACAGGAAUGCAGGGAGUGGGGAAGAAAGCCGCCUGACUGCUCGCUAGUCAGCCUUCCCCAGGGAGGAGG
ensembl:lncRNA